UACGGAGGGUGCGAGCGUUAAUCGGAAUUACUGGGCGUAAAGCGCGCGUAGGCGGUUUGGUCAGUUGGAUGUGAAAGCCCAGGGCUCAACCUUGGAACUGCAUCCAAUACUGCCAGGCUAGAGUACAGUAGAGGGGGGUGGAAUUCCUAGUGUAGCGGUGAAAUGCGUAGAUAUUAGGAGGAACAUCAGUGGCGAAGGCGGCCCCCUGGACUGAUACUGACGCUGAGGUGCGAAAGCGUGGGUAGCGAACAGG
rnacentral:rRNA from 1 species